UUUAUACAGGUAGCUGUUUCGCGUUGGCAGUAUUACCUUAUGUCUUGCAUCGAAUAAGCCUGUGCAACCUUUUAUGCUGUCUUGCUCUCUCCCACAGGAAACUUGACGUUUACUGAGAUCUCCAUUUUCAAAAAUUACUGAGGGAGAUAGCACAAACUGGUACACAGGCUAAUAGGUGGGAUUUUUGUACUCCAUCAGUGUCUUGAUUUUGUUUUGUCGUUCUCUCGCUGGCCAUCUGGCUUCCGAUGCUCGAUAUUUAUCGUUGCAAUUUCCGCACUUCAUUUUUUGUUUAUGUUGAUCGAAUUUUCAACAGUGUCGAACAGAUGUUUUUUUCUUGAAUUCAUUUCUUGUCAAAUAUUUGACCUUGUGUACUGUGGUAGACUGCUCAAAUCGUAAGUAAUGUGCCGCAUGUGUAUUGGUGAUACAUUCAUGCUGCCGACGGUGCGACUAACCGUAUGCAUUCAGUUUGAUACUUAGACGCGUGUGCUUCGGUUCUCGGUACCACAAGUUGGCGACGAGGGUGAAAAAAAAAAUAGUUUGGGAGUGAAAAAUUAUGUUCCAAGUGCAAAUUAAUUGAUGGAAAUACGAGAAGAAUUUUGAGUGUCCGGGCAAUAAAUGAAAAUUAAAGUGAAAAUGAAAAAAAAAGCCUACGAGAAGAAAGUGAUUCUGGUCGACCACGCUUGCGACCGGCCAUAUUUGGAAAAGUGAAAAAUGAUGGAAGAAAAAAUAUAUAUACCUGUGAAAAAAAAAGUGAUAGAAAAUCAAAGAAAAUGCUCGCUUGUUUGCCCUGUGAUGUGAAUAAAAUGGCGAAUGAAGCGACUGAAAGUGGUUAAUGGGGUUGGGUGCAGAGGAACGCAUGCGGCUGUUCCGAGUCAGCGCAAUUUUUGGUUGUGGUGAAUGUUCUGGUAAGCUGGUUCAAGCCUGUGGGACUGUGGGAGUGUUGAGCGAUGUUUGCUGAUUUUGAGGUAUGUACCCUUUUUUUAGUUCGUAUUUGAAGGCGACACAAAGCAAAGGUUUUCUUUCGUGGCGUCAUUUCUGAGGAGAGGGGAAUGGCGUUCUAUUAUUUAGCCACGGAUCGAGACGAUGGAUAGUGUGUGAAUGGGAGCAGAUAAGGUAUUGGUUACCAAUAGCCUCUCUAUCGGACCUCAAACGCACCUAUUCAAGCGUAUGCGUCUGCACCACCACAUGACUGUAGAAAAAAUGAGCGCGCGCCCAGUCCGCGCAGCCUGCCAAACGUGUUUGUAUGCGGUGCUGCUAAGCGUGCAUUGGUAGCCAGCCACCUACUGGUAUUGCUGCUCGGUGGGCGAGAAGCCGACGGAGAAAUGAGCAGAGACAGAGUUAAAGAUUUUUUGUGAGAGUUUCAAAUGGGUGCGUGUGAUUCCGUCACCGUAUUGUACUGGCGAGACCAAGCGCUAGACGCUGGGAAGCAAAUCCAAUUGGAACGAAAGAUGCGUUUUUGAGGGUCAUCGUGAUUGAAUUCACUGUGGUGAGAGAAGGGAGGAGAUAGUGUUGCGCCGAUGUGAUGAUGCGUGUUGGUCUUGAAUGUGCAGUGAGUGUUCACUAGUAAAGAAGCAGAUCCUAAGUUUGUAGCGGGAAGGUAGUAUUUCUGCUUUGCUUUUACCAUUCUCUGCGGUCAUACAUAUGUCGCUCUGCGGCCAUCAUAACAGUCCAAGAGCUAUGUUGAGGUUUCUUCCAUUCUAUGCUUCGGUUAAUGUUGGAGUGAUACGCAAGAAUGGGCUAGUUAGCGUUUUUCUUCAAAGAUUAUGAUAAGGUUGACAAUCCAGAAAUGCAGCAUAUUUUCGUUUUUAUUUAUUGCAUCGAAAAAAAGAGUGUUUAAUGUUAAUAUUCUUUAUUCCCCGGUCGUUGAGGUUUAGUCGUUUCCACUUUUGCGGAAAAAAAUGUUGUCUUGGACCUGUUGACAGUCUGUGAUUCCUGGACCUGUUGUGUAGUGAUUCAAUUCACUGACGAAUUUGAGGUGACGUGAUUUGAUUCACUGAGAGGUAUAACAAAGAUAAUAUGAUUUGAUUCACUGUGGUGUGUGGCAAAGUGAUUGGAUUCACUAAACGAGCAUGAAUAAACGAGAUACUUAAGCAAAGAAGUGGAAACGUGAUUAAAUUCACUAGUUCAAUAGAAGAUGUUCUAUGGCGGUGUUUUGAGUUGAGGUACGAAAUUGGGUUAAAAUAAUCUGAUAAGUUCGUUGUGAUUCUUGUGGUUUUCAUUGAAAGGAUUCGUCAGCGAAAGAAGACGUACUUGACGUUCUACCGACACCCGUUUUCAGUUCGGCAUUCAACAAUCCACCGCAGGUCCAUUUACUCUGCUUCCGCUUUCUGAGAUAUGAAAUAUAUGAUUAAUUUGGAUUCAAUGGUUCGAAAGUGCGAUGAACGUAAGGAGUAUCAGUUAUCGAAAAAAAUUCAAAGCUCAAGUGCUGCUACGGGAGGAGUGGAGUUAAUACAAAGGUUGUUACGGCACUUGUGGAGCUGACAUGUAUUGCAUUUAACAGCGACAGCCAUAAUCCGAGUGGGCAGACAAGCAGAAGCUUUCUGAACAUGUUUCUGAAACAGGGGUUUUGAGCGAUUUCAUUCAUGGUCGAUGUCUGCAGUAGAUGAUGAACCCAUCGAAGGCUUUCUGUUAAGAGGGUAGCAGAGGGAUGAUUUUUUUGUCGAGCCGAACAACGAUGCUGUAGAGUUGCAGUCAAGGACAAGGUUAUUUCGUGUGGAUCUGAAACGACCGCGUCGCAACCUUGAUGAAACCAUAAAGAUUAUCUACAUUAGUGCAGAGAAAUCAGAGUUCUGGCUCAGAAGGCGGGAUGUUGAUUUCAUCAGCCAGUGGUAGAUGAUCCGCUUUGGAUAAAACUAGUCAUCGUUGUCACAUAUUGUGUAGGUCUGAUGCAGAAUGCGGAAGUAUUAUGCUUUUGGCCGAAAUACGAAGUGACCGAACGUGCGAAAAUUGAUUUUUAACCUACUUAGAAAUGUCGCAACUCAAUUUGGAUUAGUGCAUAUUGUUGCUCUUAAUUAGCUUAAUGAUGCGCAACAGAAAAAAAUAGAUUCACAUUUACUUCGCAGCUGCAACUUCGCAUGUGCAUCUAGCGACGACUUCGAUUUGGUGGUGCGACGAUAAUACUUGCUAUAUGAAUGAGAAUCCGACAUCAAGAGAACAGGAACGUGGAGAUGUAUUGAAGCUGAUAAGGACGACGAGGCUACAUUGCAAGAGGUUUUGGUCCACAGCAUUGCUGUCGACAGGGUCGGCUUCAAUUAAUUUCCCGUAGCAGGAGUGGAUUUGUAAGUAGUUGAACCUACAAUUUUAUCGACCAUGUAAUCCUGGUACCACAGAUAGACUUGUACUUCACUUACUCUUUUCUACCAACUCCUCAUCGUUUAUCUUUUUGGCAGUUAGUUCAAAUACUCAGGGUUGCAGAUCGCUCGCUCAUAGCUCUUGCUCCGUUUUGCUCCAGUAUGACGUUUACUCACUACUGCGUUUGGUGCUUUAUGAAACAUAAGCCACUAGUACACACGGUAAAAUUUGAGAAAAAAAAAACAAACCAAUGCGCAAAUAUCUGGUUUGACUAGAUCGAAUUUUCGUUAGUGUCAAACAGAUGUUUGUUAUUGAGUUCAUUCCUUGUCAAAUGUUUGACCCCGUGUACGCUAGGCCACAGAAUUAAUGACAUUUGACGAUUAUGUUUUCGUGACGAUGAAUCUUGUGUGAUUGUGUUGGAACUCUUGAAGAUGGCUGAUUGCAACCAUGAGAAGAGGCAUGAGGAACUCAUAUUCAGUAUAAAACGCCUUCAGAAGAAAACAUUUUCGGCUGCGCCGAUAUUUUUCAGCUAUGAUUCAAAUUGAUAUUCAUUACAUUAUUUUUACGAAAUGUUAGUGUCAUUGAUCGUCGAAAAUCCCUCCCACAGUAAAUUUCUGGCUACGUCACUGUACCCAAAAAACUCGGUUUCGUUCAUUUAAUUCAUAUUUUUUUUUCUACAAAUAUUCAUUGGGCCGCGGAUGUUUUGACAAUUCUUAAAGGGGGUCGCCACCUCAAAAAGGUUGGGAACCCCUGAUUUAAACUAACUCAUGUCGUUUUCGUUUUUGCGCCGGUGCUACACCGCUUCGUGCUACACUUUUCGCUGAAUAAACGAACAUUUUCGGUGCAGUUGCAUUGGUGUGCAUGUAUAAACACCAAAAUAUUGACAACUUCGCAAACGCUGAUUGGUGGACACGGUGUGCACCUGCUACACUCCCGAUUUUUUGAGUGCUACACUAUCAUGCGCGGUGCAGAAAAAGUGCUGCACCGGUGUAGCACGAAAAUCAGAAACGAACACUUUCGGUGCAAAAGUGCUACACCGGUGUAGCACCACCGCAAAAACGAAAACGACAUCAGACACUUUCUCUUAAGAUGAAUAGGGUACUGCAAGCACCUGAUCUAACCUCACUUUGUCUGACAGUUCAGCGAGCUUGUUUACAAGGUGUUAGAAUUUUUAACGAGCGGCGAAAAUUAAAUUUACGUUUUCCGCCCCAAAACCAUUAUGAUACGGAAAAAUCGAUUAUAUUCAACUCUACUAAUACAAAACAAACCGUCUAAUUACCGUUUUACUGAAAUUGUAUCGAAAAACAGUUUUGCCGGAUCUCCGCCAGAGACCAAGUCCAUGUAAACAAGCUCGCUGAACUGUCAGUGCUCGGCUUCGUGACGUCAUCAUGCAGUAUCCUAUGCAAUGAGCCAUUUUACUAGACGUUUCGGAUCAGCUGAUCGCUCAUUUCAUGAAUGAAAAUUUGACAGGAGGUUGCGCCCAAGCCCGUGAGUGUUAAUAUCAAUAUCAACACUGUUGUCGUUUCGUAAAAUAGACUAUAGCGGAAACAGGAACAGGAAUCUGAACAACGCAACGGUCAUUUGACGUUUGUGCUUCGCGUUCUAGUAAGGGGGAAUAGACCAUUCCCGUCAAAAUUUUUUAAGUGCUCAAUGGCUUUCCGACAAUUUAUCGAGCAAACUUUCUCAAGGAACCCAUAUGUUUUGAAGCCUCUAACUAUUGAAAAAUAGUAAAAAACCUGCGAAGUAGCACUUUAGCCCUACAAUCUCCUAGAAAAUAUUUUUUCACUAAACCCGAUGAACCCCUUUCUCCCCUAUGGCUUUCUCGGAGAGAUGUGGAGAAUUUUCGAUCAGCUGGCUGUCAAUAAUGACGUUUGAUAUUUUGUUUUGAUCUGCUCCCAUCCGCGCUGUCCGCUCUCAAAACAACAAAAACAAAAAACGGUCCAGAAGAUGCUGCUGGCAUACUUUUUCGUUUUCAAUUUUCGUUUUUAAAUGGUUUUUGAUAGUAGGAAAUUUAAGCUCUGCCAGACAAGCGAAUACAUCCCUCCAUUGGAACACUGGAACGAUUGAAAUAAGCCACCCGUAAGCCUUCGAUCGACUUCUACCUGAUGCAAAAUAUGAGCGGACGGCAACUAUUUGGACAUUGACGGCCAGGUGCAUAAGGUGUUCGAACCGUAGAACAACGAAGCCGGGUAUGGAUCGUAGGUCAAUCAAUACGUGGCACGGAUCUUCUGGACCGCACCGUUAACAACGAAGAUUUUGUGCGUGCUUAGGAAGAAGGCCUAGGCCAGAAGAAAAUGAUAAUUCCUGGAUAAAUAUAUGGAUAUCACGGAAAGAGCUAUUGGGGACAAACAAGUGGGGAUGCCGGGAUAGUUCCGGAAUAAAAUUGUAUUUAGCAAGAA